rnacentral:rRNA from 1 species
GAUGAACGCUGGCGGCGUGCCUAAUACAUGCAAGUCGAGCGGCCAUAUGGGGACCUUGCUCUUUUGGCGUUAGCGGCGGACGGGUGUGUAACACGUGGGUAACCUACGUAUAUGACUUGGAUACCUUCGGGGGACCAGUGCUACUACCGGAUAACAUUUGGCACCGCUUGGUUCUAUAGUGAAAGGUGGUUUUGCUAUCACUUGUAGAUGGACUCGCGCCGUGUUAGCGAGUUGGUAGGGUAACGGCUUACCAAGGCGACGAUACGUGGCCGCCCUGAGAGGGUGAUCGGCCACACUGGGACUGAGACACGGGCCAGACUCCUACGGGAGGCAGCAGUGGGGAAUUUUCGGCAAUGGGCGAAAGCCUGACCGAGAAAGGCCGCGUGAGUGAUGAAGGGGUUCGGGUCUUAAAACCCUGUUAUUAGGGAAGAAAAAAUGUGUAAGUAUCUGUGCACGUCAUGACGGUACCGGAACAAAAAGCCCCGGCUAACUACGUG